rnacentral:rRNA from 1 species
AUGGCGACCCGGGCUCUGCACUCGCCGAGGCUCACGAGCCCGCCGCUCACGGGCAGGCAUGCGGCGGCGAGGUGCAAGUGCUCCGCCGCGCCGCUCUUCGCGAAGCGACUACCGCUCGUCGUCGCCUUCCCUCGCUCCGUCGCCUCCUGCUGCGCCGUGCAGGGGUCAUCCGCCGGCGCCGCCGCCGCCGCCGCAACCACUGUUAGCGAGACGAAGGAUGCAGGCGGUGACAAGAAGGAAGCCGCCGCCGCGGAGGCGAAGCCGGCAGCCAAGCCAGCAGCGGCCAAGCCGAAGAAGGCCCCGCCGAAGCCACUGCCGGAGAUGAUGGAGGAAGAGAUCAUCCCUCCUCUGAAGACCGCGCUGGAGGCCGAGGAGGACGUGUCCCAAGUCGUGCUGACGUUCCAGAACAACACGUUGGAAGGCUCCUUCGUGAAGGAAGACAUACCCUACUACUUCUGGGCCUUCUUCCCACAGGGAGACCUCUCAGGACCGAAAGGCUUUGCGAUGACGUCCUACUCCAUGGAGGUGAGCACCAUCGAGCCGUUCCUGAUCGACGAGAAGAGGAUCACUCCGCAGUACGUGGUGUUCUGGGUGUACAAAAGGCUGGCCGGCCAGGGGGUGCUCCCGGUCUGGAAGGCAGAGGACCUGAGUCCUGCUCCUGCAGAGUAG